GGGCGAGUGGCCUAGUCCGGAUAUGGCACCUGCCUCCUAAGCAGGUGGUCCUGGGUUCGAAAGGACGCAAAGCCGUCCCGAAAGUCCCAGCUCGCCCG
rnacentral:tRNA from 1 species